AAUCUGACUGAUCCUGUCAGUAGUCAUAUGCUUGUCUCAAAGAUUAAGUCAUGAAUGCCUAAGUGUAAGCAAUUAUACGGCGAGACUGCAAACGACUCAUUAAAAAACAGUAUAGUUUAUUUGGAAUACGUUUAUAUGGAUAACCUUUGUAAUUCUAGAGUUAAUGCAUGCUGGUUACGCUCUGCAUAGUAUUUAUUAGAUAGAACCCAACGGGGGCGAUCCUAUGGAAGAAUAAUAAUUGCUUAGCGAAUAAUCUUCAAAAUUGCAUCAUGAUGGGGAUUGACUCCUGAAUUAUUGGUCAUCAACGAGUCAACGAGGAAUUCCUAGUAAGUGAAAGCCAUCAACUUGGAUUGCCACUGCCCACCGCUCCUACCGAUUUUGAGUAUGAGGCGAAUCCUCCGGACUGCACACCUCGUGUGUGGGAAGCUAAUCAAACCUUAUCACUUAGAAGAAGGAGAAAUCGUAACAAGGUUCUGUAGAUGAACCUGCAGAUGGAUCAUUA